rnacentral:ncRNA from 3 species
GAUCUGUAACUUCGGGAUAAGGAU